AACGAACGCUGGCGGCAUGCCUAACACAUGCAAGUCGAACGAGACCUUCGGGUCUAGUGGCGCACGGGUGCGUAACGCGUGGGAACCUGCCCUUAGGUUCGGAAUAACUCCCCGAAAGGGGUGCUAAUACCGGAUAAUGUCUUCGGACCAAAGAUCUAUCGCCUUUGGAUGGGCCUGCGUUGGAUUAGCUAGUUGGUAGGGUAAAAGCCUACCAAGGCGACGAUCCAUAGCUGGUCUGAGAGGAUGAUCAGCCACACUGGGACUGAGACACGGCCCAGACUCCUACGGGAGGCAGCAGUGGGGAAUAUUGGACAAUGGGCGAAAGCCUGAUCCAGCAAUGCCGCGUGAGUGAUGAAGGCCUUAGGGUUGUAAAGCUCUUUUACCCGGGAUGAUAAUGACAGUACCGGGAGAAUAAGCUCCGGCUAACUCCGUG
rnacentral:rRNA from 1 species